rnacentral:rRNA from 1 species
AAAUUGAAGAGUUUGAUCAUGGCUCAGAUUGAACGCUGGCGGCAGGCCUAACACAUGCAAGUCGAGCGGUAGCACAGAGAGCUUGCUCUCGGGUGACGAGCGGCGGACGGGUGAGUAAUGUCUGGGAAACUGCCUGAUGGAGGGGGAUAACUACUGGAAACGGUAGCUAAUACCGCAUAAUGUCGCAAGACCAAAGUGGGGGACCUUCGGGCCUCAUGCCAUCAGAUGUGCCCAGAUGGGAUUAGCUAGUAGGUGGGGUAACGGCUCACCUAGGCGACGAUCCCUAGCUGGUCUGAGAGGAUGACCAGCCACACUGGAACUGAGACACGGUCCAGACUCCUACGGGAGGCAGCAGUGGGGAAUAUUGCACAAUGGGCGCAAGCCUGAUGCAGCCAUGCCGCGUGUAUGAAGAAGGCCUUCGGGUUGUAAAGUACUUUCAGCGGGGAGGAAGGCGAUAAGGUUAAUAACCUUGUCGAUUGACGUUACCCGCAGAAGAAGCACCGGCUAACUCCGUGCCAGCAGCCGCGGUAAUACGGAGGGUGCAAGCGUUAAUCGGAAUUACUGGGCGUAAAGCGCACGCAGGCGGUCUGUCAAGUCGGAUGUGAAAUCCCCGGGCUCAACCUGGGAACUGCAUUCGAAACUGGCAGGCUAGAGUCUUGUAGAGGGGGGUAGAAUUCCAGGUGUAGCGGUGAAAUGCGUAGAGAUCUGGAGGAAUACCGGUGGCGAAGGCGGCCCCCUGGACAAAGACUGACGCUCAGGUGCGAAAGCGUGGGGAGCAAACAGGAUUAGAUACCCUGGUAGUCCACGCCGUAAACGAUGUCGAUUUGGAGGUUGUGCCCUUGAGGCGUGGCUUCCGGAGCUAACGCGUUAAAUCGACCGCCUGGGGAGUACGGCCGCAAGGUUAAAACUCAAAUGAAUUGACGGGGGCCCGCACAAGCGGUGGAGCAUGUGGUUUAAUUCGAUGCAACGCGAAGAACCUUACCUGGUCUUGACAUCCACAGAACUUAGCAGAGAUGCUUUGGUGCCUUCGGGAACUGUGAGACAGGUGCUGCAUGGCUGUCGUCAGCUCGUGUUGUGAAAUGUUGGGUUAAGUCCCGCAACGAGCGCAACCCUUAUCCUUUGUUGCCAGCGGUCCGGCCGGGAACUCAAAGGAGACUGCCAGUGAUAAACUGGAGGAAGGUGGGGAUGACGUCAAGUCAUCAUGGCCCUUACGACCAGGGCUACACACGUGCUACAAUGGCAUAUACAAAGAGAAGCGACCUCGCGAGAGCAAGCGGACCUCAUAAAGUAUGUCGUAGUCCGGAUUGGAGUCUGCAACUCGACUCCAUGAAGUCGGAAUCGCUAGUAAUCGUAGAUCAGAAUGCUACGGUGAAUACGUUCCCGGGCCUUGUACACACCGCCCGUCACACCAUGGGAGUGGGUUGCAAAAGAAGUAGGUAGCUUAACCUUCGGGAGGGCGCUUACCACUUUGUGAUUCAUGACUGGGGUGAAGUCGUAACAAGGUAACCGUAGGGGAACCUGCGGUUGGAUCACCUCCUUA